AACGAGGCCGACCUGCGGCUGAGUUACCUGCGGAGGGAUCAUUACCUAGAGUUGUAGGCUUUGCCUGCUAUCUCUUACCCAUGUCUUUUGAGUACCUUACGUUUCCUCGGUGGGUUCGCCCGCCGGUUGGACAAAACUUAAACCCUUUGUAGUUGCAAUCAGCGUCUGAAAAAACUUAACAGUUACAACUUUUAGCAACGGAUCU
rnacentral:misc_RNA from 1 species